ACACCAGACCUCUGCUUUACUUUGAAGCUUGUUCAAUUCUUUAAUUUAUUAACUUUGAACAAUAUAAAGCAUAAUGUAAAAUAAUGUUUCAACAAAAGUUAGUUAUUUUAAUUGCUGAAGUCAGUGGAGUGUAAAAUGUGUUUUUUUUUCUUUGAAAUUUCAAUAAAAAAAUGUUACAAAAUUGUCACAUUUGUGAAAAAAAGAGACAUGAAUGAUAGUCAACCAAAGAUAGGGAGUAUGGGGAGAUAAAAUGCAAUAAAGCUAUGGGAACUACAUGUAAAAUGAUGCUUUUAUUUUUUUCAAUUUCAGAAAUCAAACAUAUGGAGAAUGGAAGCACAGUUCUCAGUCCAGGAUCAAUUUCUGGUCAGAUAAAGAGUAUUAAGUGGCUUCAUAGCGCUGACAUCAUUGCAGACUGGUUUGGACGUGAAAAGGAGGGCCACCGUCAUUGUAAAGAUCGCUGUGACAUCAACACAGAAACUGGAAGUCUGACCAUCAACAGUUGCAGUAUGACUGACUAUGGGAACUACACUGUAAAGAUCGAGACAAAAACUGGAAAACUGGAUAUCUUUCAUCUGAAUGUGACAGACUGCGGCAAACACACAGUGAAGAAGAACGUUCCAGGAAUCGAAGUCAAACUUCAGUACAAAUGUUUCCUGCUUCAUUUUUUCUGGGGGGAACACAAACACCAUCAUCAUCAUUAUCGUCUUCAUCCUCAUCAUCAUCAUUGCUGUUGCUCUUUCCAUUGGGAUUUAUUGUUGUUACAAACACAGAGAAAAUCCAGAACACCUGACAGGACGCAUUCGGAGUAGAGGCCUCAGCUGGCUCCGCUCAGUGAAGAACAGCAUGGCAUCCACUCCGAGCUCCUUCCAGGUAACUGAGCUUCUGACCUUAAAUCCAACAGUGCGUCCAGCUACUCUGUGGAGAGAACUCCUUCCAGAAUCAGGAUUUUUCUCCUGUCAGUCGGGAUUUAAGAGCAAAGACUCAACAAUAGAACUAAAACACCUAGAAAAAAUCUCCCUGAAGUUUUGAUCUGUGUUUCUAGAGUAGUGAACAGCUGAAGCAUGAACAUGGGCUCACAGAGUUGCUGCAACCAGCUGAGCUCCCAUUGGUUGAUUGUGGGGUCCAGUCUGCUGCAGGGCCAAACAACCACACCCAGAGAUCAUGCAGAAUCACCGGUUAACCUAUGAAAUGUGUUGGAGGAAACCCAGCCGGGAUUUCAACCUGCUGGGAGAUGCAGUGCUAACCACUUCACCACCGUGCCACCUAACUUAAUUAUCAUUCAUUUACGUUAUAUUCACAUUCACUAAAAAUGUGAAAAAAUAAGUUGACUAAGUUUUGUUUCUGACUACAGAGGGUUUCUACAUCAGCUGGAGACCCGACACCACAAGAAGAGACUGACGAAUCUCAGAACUCGUCUUCAUCACCUUCUGAGGAUGGAGACCAAGUUGGACCUGCUGGCAGAACAGGAAGUCUUUCAUGUUCAAUCACAGUUUCUAACUAAAUGUAGCUUUUAAAGGAGAAAACUUCUGCUAGAAAGCAGAACAACUUCCUAUUUAUUUGAUGCUUCCUUAAACUAACCAAACUUGUGUUUACAUGAAGGUCUUUUUCUAACAAAAGUUAGAAAAAAAUGUGUUUAUAUAAAAAACAGUUUGAUAACUUGAAGCUUUAGAAGUGACUGUGGGAGAGCGGCAACUUCUGACUAUAAGGUCACACACUCCAGCUUUGUUUAGCUUGGAGGUCAUUAAUAGACCCUUUUCAAGUGACAUCAUACAAAACGAUAAGUGUGCAGAGUGACUUCUAGAUCUGUUAUGUCUACGGCAAAGCUGACGGCUGAACGCUGUUUAAAGCAAUUUUACGUAAAUAAUGACAGGAAACUUAAAUCUGUACAAUAUUUAUUUUAUAAAUGUUCUAGCUGGUUUUUCCCUCUUAGAUCUAAUGUCAGAAUUCCUCCUGCAGAACGCUCCACAGCUGCGUCUCUAAAAUCCUCUGGAUGAUAUUAAACCAUCGUGGAUUAUUUCUCUCUACAACCCGGUCAUAGUUAGAUGGAGGUUACAGGAACUUCAUUGAAUUCUGCUGUUUGAUUGUGAAGGUCAUUCAGAUUUUCUUCUUCUAAUUUAUGCUAACGCUAAUGCUAGCUUCCCAGGAUGGGAAUGAGACAAAAGAUCUGCAGAAGAUCUUUUCUGUCCAGUUAAAGUUGCUUCAUAAAAUCACUAAAAAUAGAGCUUAAGUCAGACAAUUUCAACAAGAAAAACUAAUUAUUUUCUGACAUAGCUCCUCUUUGCUGUUGCUCAUAACCCUGUCUGAUCCUGCAGGAUAAUAAGGGGAAACAAGGAUUAAAUUCAUUUAAAACAGUUAAAAAAGAAAAAAAAAAUUCCUAUUAAAAGCAUUAACUGUUAAAAUACCUGGAAAAACAACAAACAACUCUUAUUAGAACAACUGAACGUGGCCUUGGGUUUAAACCCCAACAUGCUUCGAUGUGCAUCUAUUGCAAUGCGCCCAUUUCAUGUGACCAACAUGAAUUUGCAUCAGUUUAUGUGCUGAUCACACUUAAAACCCGUGGGAAUGACAUCGAGCAAAAUAGAACCCAUUAGAAUGGGUUCUAUUUUUAUCUAUGUACAUAUUUCUGUUCAAAUUGGUGAGGUUACCCUUUAUUAUUUACAUAAAAUUGUGUCAAACAGCGUUCAGUUCAAUGUUUUCCCGGUCUAUCUAUGAACCCGGAGGUUACGUAUCACGCUCACGUAUCCUGUCGCCGUUUUCUUCGAUAUCCCCGUAAAUAAGCUCUACUGACUGUGAGGAGUUACCAAUUUGUUUUUGUGUGUGAAUGAAACUUUAGGAUGUUUACACAUUUGGUGUUUCUUUGCCAAAUCGUGCAGCUGCUAUAGCAACUCCAAGCUAGCGCCUGGCACCGCCUCUGAGGUCAAAGGUCGGGUUCCAGCCUUGCCCCAUCCCUGUGCUACUGUAAAUCCCUGUGGCCAGAAGGGGGGGGGGGGGGGGGGGGGGGGUGUUAUAUGUUUUUUUUUUUUAACAUUUCAGGAAUGACCUUCCUAAAGUAUUUUUCAAUGCUCUGUUGAAUGUUUUGCACUUUGCUUUUAUAAUGCUAGUGAAAAACAAAGUGCACUUUAAUAUUAGCCAAUGCUUCAAAAGCAUAUGUGCCAAACAAAAAAAAUGUAUGUGCUAAAACAUUACGCAUACAAAAAAAAAAAAAAAAAAAUUGGUGGUGGAGGGGGGGGGGUCUUAAAACCAGUGGGGUCUGGUUGUUGCGUUUUUGUGUGAAAACUCAAAGUAUUUUCUUAAAAAUGAUUUUAAGAAAGUUUUUUACAUUUCUAAUUUUAUUUUGUAAACAGUGGUGUUUCCACUGAGACUGAGCAUUAUUUCUAUGAAGAUGAAAAAUGUGACACAAGAAGUAUGAAGCAUUUCUGUUGUAUACAUUUAAACUUUAAGGAAGAUAUGUAUGGUUUUCUUCUUUAAACUACAUUUUGAACUAUAUCUCCAAAUCUAUUAAAAACAGAAUUGGAGUCAAACUCUUAUGACUUAUUUUCUGUUUAGUUUAGUGUUUAUGUUUUUUUUUUUUUUUUUUUUAACCUUUAUUUUACCAGUAAAUCCCAUUGAGAUUAGAUCUCUCUUUCUAGGGAGACCUGGGCCAAAAGGCGAGCUUCUGUUUGAUCAGGUCAAGUUAUAACAUUUUCAGGUUGAUCAUUGUUACUCAGUGUAGCGUGUCAUGCAUUUUGUUUCUUUGUAGACCAUACACAUUGUCAAAUGAGUAACUGUAAAUCCCUGUACACAAUCUAAAUGUUAUCAUCCU
ensembl:lncRNA